CUAAGCGGGAAGAGUGGGCGUCUUCCCGCAAGAAGAACCACAACAUGGCUGUUGUCAAGCAGGAAAUGUUCCUCCUGCUCGAAAAGCUUCAAGCAGCAGGAUAUAAACCUGUCCUGCUGCUUGGAAAAGCCACUAAAAAGAGCCAUGUGGUCAAGGUGUUCACACCUCGUUGCACCUUGGCCACAUUUGCGGAGGAGUCCCUCAAAAAAAUGGGCUCCAUCCAUGAGUACAUUUGUCAAGGAUGGACCCCUUUUGCAAGUGGGACUGCAGAGGGGCCAGAAGAGGGCAGGGGGACCACUCAGGUG